GCGGCAGGCGGCGCCAGUGGCCAGCUGCGCACAGGCAAAGGUGUCCGGGCAGAUGUAAAUGGAGUCGAAGUUGGAGCCCUCGCGGUGCAGCUCCCGGGUUUUCAUCUUCGCUGUGGCCCGCAGUCGACCUACGUACUCAGCACUGGAGGCACAGUAAGUUAACUUACCAGUAGAGGAAGAGAAACGCACAGUGGAACAGAAAGAUGACCAUCAGGGGAAGAAAGGAAUGAAGAAAAUAUUUGAAGAAGGCCUACCCCAUGAGAGACACCAGAGCCAGUGGAAGAACAAACACUGAAGGAAACUAAGUUUAUAAAGCAAAGGAAGGGGAAGCUGGUACCACUUUUCUGGAGGAAGUCUGGUAUAUGCC